rnacentral:lncRNA from 1 species
CGGCAUCCCCGGCAGCUCCAGCAUCCCCGGCAGCUCCAGCAUCCCCGGCAUCCCCGGCAGCUCCAGCAUCCCCAGCAUCCCCAGCAUCCCCGGCAUCCCCGGCAUCCCCGGCAGCCCCGGCAGCUCCAGCAUCCCCGGCAGCCCCAGCAUCCCCGGCAUCCCCGGCAGCUCCAGCAUCCCCGGCAGCUCCAGCAUCCCCGGCAGCUCCAGCAUCCCCGGCAGCUCCAGCAUCCCCAGCAUCCCUGCCGGGACGCGCCGCGGAGCACACAGACACUGCCAUGACUGUGAGACGCUACCCCACCGUCUCCCCAGCUCCUGCUCCUUCCAGCACAAGGUCCCACUGGGCUGGCAGGAAGCCUCCAAGCUCUGGGCUCCUGGAGGUGCCAGGCAGAACCCAGCCACCAGCCCCUCCUGCUGCAGCACAGCUCAGCAGGGAAGAGGAGAAAGGGCUUGAAAAAUCACCAGCCA